rnacentral:rRNA from 1 species
CACGUAGGGCGCAAGCGUUGUCCGGAAUUAUUGGGCGUAAAGAGCGUGUAGGCGGUUAGGUAGGUCCGUUGUGAAAACUCGAGGCUCAACCUCGAGACGCCGAUGGAAACCAUCUAACUAGAGUCCGGAAGAGGAGAAUGGAAUUCCUGGUGUAGCGGUGAAAUGCGCAGAUAUCAGGAAGAACACCCGUGGCUAAGGCGGUUCUCUAGUACGGUACUGACGCUGAGACGCGAAAGCGUGGGGAGCGAACAGG